UUGAUGGAUGGCCAGACUUGUAGAUUGAUGAAGAAUACGGCAAUAUUUUUGACACACACCAUGCCCUGUGAAUUGCAGACU
rnacentral:rRNA from 1 species